rnacentral:rRNA from 1 species
ACGGAGUUGUCACCAUGAAGUUUUCGGAUGGAUUGGUAACAACUUAGUGGCGGACGGGUGAGUAACGCGUGGGUAACCUGCCUCAUACUGGGGGAUAACAGCUGGAAACGGCUGCUAAAACCGCAUAAGAUCACAUCACCGCAUGGUGAAGCGGUUAAAUAUCGAAAGAUAGGUAUGAGAUGGGCCCGCGUCUGAUUAGCUAGUUGGUGAGAUAAGAGCCCACCAAGGCGACGAUCAGUAGCCGGCUUGAGAGAGUGACCGGCCACAUUGGGACUGAGACACGGCCCAAACUCCUACGGGAGGCAGCAGUGGGGAAUAUUGCACAAUGGGGGAAACCCUGAUGCAGCGACGCCGCGUGAGUGAAGAAGUGCUUCGGCAUGUAAAGCUCUAUCAGCAGGGAAGAAGAUGACGGUACCUGACUAAGAAGCCCCGGCUAACUACGUGCCAGCAGCCGCGGUAAUACGUAGGGGGCAAGCGUUAUCCGGAUUUACUGGGUGUAAAGGGAGCGUAGGUGGCAGAUCAAGUCAGAUGUGAAAGCCCGUGGCUCAACUGCGGGAUUGCAUUUGAAACUGGUUUGCUAGAGUGCAGGAGAGGUAAGUGGAAUUCCUAGUGUAGCGGUGAAAUGCGUAGAUAUUA